rnacentral:pre_miRNA from 1 species
UAAAUACUCCCACCGUCUCAUAUUAACUGUCGAAAUAUUACACGUAUUUAGACGUAUUUUAGUAUGUAGAUACGUUCAUAUUUAGACAAAUUCGAGUCAAUUAAUAUGAAACGGAGGGAGUACGAA